UUAAUAUACAACAACCAAGACUUUCAGUGACAAAGCGUCUAUUUAACUUUACCCUCCAUUCUCAAAACAUCCUGAAGUCAUUGCAGUCUAUUUAUCUUGCAUUAAACCGUUUUUUGAAUUGCUCACUCCAGAGUUUAGAGUUAAAACACAUUCAAUGAAUAUUGAGUGUAUGAAUAGUUCGUAGUAGGCUUAUUCCACGAUGGUGACCUCCGCGAUCCAUCAGGCAGAUUCAUCAGUAUUUAAGAAUAAAAGUUACUCUCUCUGUCAUCAAGUCCCCCCAAACAUGUUUUGAUAUCUGACGGGGCAUCUAUUUGAGUUCUUGUGAGAAUUUCGCCCGACAUGCUCCGCGGCGCUCAUUAUUUUGGGCAAGACAUGUUUGGGGCAGAUUUUAAAAAGUCCUGUUGAGCCAGUAGAUGGCGCUUUGACUCUGAAGUCUAGACCACCUCCACGUCAUGCUCACGCAGUGCUCCUCCUUCUCCUUAUGUCGUAAGGUGAACACUGUUUUCGUUUCAACCUGGUCCACAGUCGCACAUUUUUAGCUCAUAAAAAAGAACCCAAAAAAAGUUUGUCGCUGAAUUUCCAGUCGAUUAUCGAUGCGUCUAUGCAGAAAUACUUUCUCUAGAACGGAAUAGGAUAUUGGUCGCGAGGGACGUGUCACGGCUCGACACGUGAUCGUUCUACACCAAUGAGGGAGCUGCUUUUUGUCAACAGAAUGGCAAGAUGGCGGCUCCCGUGGUUAGAUUCAACGUUACCGAUAAAGAGGAAAGCAUCGUCAAAAGUGGGCUAAAUGGAUUCUAAAUAGUGCCGUAUACGUAGCCGCGGCCAAUAAGAACAAUGAGGCAACUAUACGUGCAGGGGUGAAGCGUCGGGCCAGGAGAAGACGUUUUAAACCUGUCCUGCCCUCCAUCAUCGUGGGAAACGUGAGGUCUCUCGUCAACAAGAUGGACGAGCUAACGGCAGUGACCCGCCAUCAGAGCGAGUACCGGGAGUGUAGCCUCAUGGUGUUAACGGAGACUUGGCUCACGGAGUUCACUCCGGACACGCACGCUGCGCUCGACGGGUUAUACGAGCGGACAGGACAACGGAGAGCGCGCUGCUGGCCGGCCGGCUGGACGGAGGCGCUCGAUGUCCCCUCGGCCAGUUCCCCUGUGGGAACAUAAGCGAGUGUCUCCCCCAGGCUUUGCAGUGCAACGGGCAGAAGGACUGUCCGAACGGAGCCGACGAGCGGCGCUGUGGGACAACAUCGGAUGGGCCGACUUAUUUGGCCAAACACUCCCAAGAUGCCAAUGAUGUGGACAUUUUCAUUUUUCAUUUUUUACAACCCCACAUUGGUAUUAUCCUUAGACUUGUUUAAAUGUUCAGAUGUAGAAAUGCAUCACUUUAACCUGCUGACAAUUCACUUUAAUCACUACCUUGUAUAUAUAUAUAUGUUAUAUUCCUCUGUACAUUUAAUAUUGUUAUUGUAUUUUGUUUAUUAAUGCUCUGAUGUGCACCCGCUGCUGUGAUCCUGAAAUUUCCCCAUUGUGGGACUAAUAAAGGAUUAUCUAAUCUAAUCUAAUAA